rnacentral:rRNA from 1 species
CCUACGGGAGGCAGCAGUGAGGAAUAUUGGUCAAUGGGCGCGAGCCUGAACCAGCCAAGUCGCGUGAAGGAUGACUGCCCUACGGGUUGUAAACCUCUGUUAUAAGGGAAUAAAGUGAGGCACGUGUGCCUUUUUGUAUGUACUUUAUGAAUAAGGAUCGGCUAACUCCGUGCCAGCAGCCGCGGUAAUACGGAGGAUCCGAGCGUUAUCCGGAUUUAUUGGGUGUAAAGGGAGCGUAGAUGGGUUGUUAAGUCAGUUGUGAAAGUUUGCGACUCAACCGUAAGAUUGAAAUUGAUACUGGCAGCCUUGAGUACAGGUGAGGUAGGCGGAAUUCGUGGUGUAGCGGUGAAAUGCUUAGAUAUCACGAAGAACUCCGAUGGCGAAGGCAGCUUACUAAACUGCCACUGACGUUGAUGCUCGAAAGUGUGGGUAGCAAACAGGAUUAGAUACCCUGGUAGUC